rnacentral:antisense_RNA from 1 species
GGGAGCUUGGAUGUGGAAGCUCUUUGGAAACCAAGAAACACUCUGCAAAUGAAAAGGAUGCCAACUUCAUCUGUCUUUAAGAAUACAAUAUUAGUUUAAAAGACUGUUCAACUUAAAGCAGUCUUGUAGAGAUUGUCACCCAUGAUUGAUGCUGGCAUAAGAAUGUUUAUCACAGCAUGGCAUAUAUUGGAAGUUUAGUAAAUGAAGAUACAUCCAAUCUGACAUUCCAUUCACAACCACAAAGAGAUAAUGUAGAAACAUAUUUAGUAAUGUGAGAAAAUACUAAAUAUUAAGUGGAAAAAGGUGGAAGAGUAAACUGUUCCCGUUUCUCCAAAUUGACAGGAAGCAGAAGUUCUCCUUAGCUGAUUUUUCUUCUUGCCUUAUACUGGGUUCUUUAACACCAGAACAAAAAUAAAUAAAUAAAAGAAUCUUCCAGAAAUUCAUGAAGAGACUUCAGGUCAGGAAAGCCUGAACUUUCUCAUCUAACACCUGUUCAAGUCGGAGGAUGCUGAUUAAUUCAUGAUGGAAAGGUAUCAAUUUCACAGCCCAGACUUCUACAUUCUUGAAAUGCUGUUCUCAUGGGAGACAUUAAAUAAGCUUUGAAAUAACUGAAGAACCAAUGAUGUGAUCCCUGGAUACUGGCAAUUGUUGCCCAAGAAACCCUCUCCCCUUGCUAUGGGACUGCUGGGCA